rnacentral:lncRNA from 1 species
CUGGGCUAACAUCCCGCCGCCGCCCGGAGCCGGGUCUUGCUCGCGCUCUCGCGAGAGAGCCGUCAUCUCUCCGGUGCCCGGGAGAGGGGCCGGGCGGGACGGUACAGCAACCGGAGGAACCUUGAUUCCCUGCCCCGCAAGCCCAGCACCGGUUUUGCCGCCUUGUCUCGAAGGGUCAACCAGGCCAUCUCCUGCCUCGGGACGGAGAGCGCCCUGGAAAAGGCGGAGGGGCCGACCUUAGUCACACAAGAGCGAUGGCAAGAUUUUCACCCAAGCCAUCUGACUUGGAACCCAUGGAUUAACCAACUGCCACUGGAGGCAAAUCCAGAGACCAAGGGAGCAGUUUAUACAGAAACAGGUCUGUUAUGGGUGGAAUUAGGUCCCUUCAAAAGAACGUUGAAACCC